rnacentral:tRNA from 1 species
CCCUGUAGCUCAGUUGGUAGAGCAUGGUGUUUGCAAUGCCAGGGUUGUGGGUUCAAUUCCCAAGAGGG